AGUCCAAGUAGCUUAUAUGGUUAAAGCGCGUGUCUGAAAAACAUGAGAAGAGGGUUCAAAUCCCACUGAACUACCA
rnacentral:tRNA from 1 species